rnacentral:lncRNA from 1 species
CAGGGAGCGCACCAGGCCAGGAAAGAGCACGGGGAGGAGCAUGUGGCCAAGGACUUCAAGGAGGCCAGCAUGCUCGCACACACGCACACGCCUGCCCGCACACGCGUGCGCACACACACAACCCCCACCCCCUCCCAGCCCACGUCUCCACCAUCCUGGAGCCCACAGACUCAGCGAGGCUCCAGCCAACCUCCCGGCCUUCCCAGCAGGCAGCCUCUCCUCCUGUCUCUCCACCAGCCUCCCCACACAGAAGGCACCCAGGUGGCCUCUGCCCAGUGGAUCAAGACCAAACCCGGCUCUCCAAGCUCCGGCUCCAGCCUGCCUUUCCAGAUGAGCACGCAGGACUCUCCAGGUGAAGCCCCCGUCAGACCCAGCAGCUAGGUGAGGCGCCUCUCCCAGUCCUGGCUGUCCCUGGAAACAAGCCUCCAGGAGUCUGCCUCCUCUAGGAAGUCUUCCCUGACUGCACCAGGACAUCCAGUGCCACCACCCCGUGGCUCAGUGCUGAGCCCCGUCCUUGAGCUCGUCUCUGUUCCCCAGUACCUCCAGGCCCCUGCAAGACUUGCCGGGGAAAUGAAUGAAGCUCUGUCCCCGAGACUGUCCCAGAGGAGGGCAAGGACUCCUAGUCCCUUUCUGCCACAGACCUGCCCAUGUCCAAAGGCCAGACCUGGCACCUCUCUGGGCUUCAGUUUCCUCCCUGGGGAAAUGAAGGCUGCUUCCCCUGGUGACCAGAGGGAGGCUUUGGGGCCUCAACAAGCCCUUGGAAACUAUGGGCACAAAGGCACCAUGUGACCAGUUGCUUGCAUCAGCUUCUCGAGAGGUUGGUGACCCCUGGAAGCUUCAGGUCUUCCAGCUCUGCCGCUUGGCCACUCCUUCACUCCCUGGCUGACACUUAUUGAAUGCCUGCCCCGUGGGGGUGUCAUUUUGAUGUAUGGAAUAUAUGUAUGCG